UCUGCAAUACAAUAUACAUUGGCUUAUUAUCUAGGAUAACUAUAAUUUAGAAAGAAAGCAAAGGUGGCACGUGGUUGAAAUGUACACACGUGUAUGAGAGAGACAGAACAUAAUGGCUGCUGCAUACGUUAGUUCAUCCCUUCCCUAGAUGCUCUGUCUUGGUAUGUAUGGUUUCAUCUUCCUACUCUUGUGUCUGCGGAUAUUAUAUUAUUUUCUUUCUCUCUGUUAUUUUCUUUGUUUAUUUUCUUCUAUAUAAACCUCACACACCACUCUAUCUUUUCACACAGUUCUCUUUCUCUCUUUUCUCUGUUCUCUGUUCUCUGUUCUCUGUUCUCUGUUCUUAAAAAUUUCAGUUUUUUUUGGGUGAAUUACGUUGCCAUCAUCACCAUGGCCAUGAAAAGUGCUGCUUCCUCUGCCAUUCGCUCUCUGCUUUCCUCGUCCUCUUCCACUUUCUCCAGAAACCUUCAUGCUCCGGCUGAGAGGAAGAAGAUUGUGGGAGUGUUCUACAAAGGGGGUGAGUAUGCUAAGUUGAAUCCCAAUUUUGUGGGAUGUGUUGAAGGAGCAUUGGGUAUUCGUGAGUGG